rnacentral:rRNA from 1 species
GUCGAGGACCUAAAGAACUAGAAUAGAGGUAAACGAAGGUAGGAGAGAGUGGUUGGUGUGUUGAGGUAUCGUCGGAACCGCGCACUUCUCUGGAUGUGUCCCCGCCGCUUCCUUGCUCGUCGUUAUGCGACGAGAAAGUGGUUAGACCUGUUCUAGUUUAAAACUGCAACAACUCAAAAAAUAAGGAGACUGGUCGUUCUAGUACCGUCUCAGGGACGAAGACGGAGAUCACGCGCCGCACCGGCCGUUCCGACGUCUACGUGAGCAGCUCUGGCACUGGGCGUACACACCGGAGCUGCUGCUGGCGGCUUACGACCUCGCGGUAGACGAUCGGCAGCUCACGUUCGACCGAUUGCGGCUCCUCUCCUCGCUCUGUUUGCGGAUACAGUUCUCGACCUACUUACUCGAGUUCAGACAGCGGAUGCUCCGGCUGCUGCACGAGCUACUGAAGGUCAUACUCCGUGACGCGGCAGUCAGAUUCUAACCGUUCAGGUGAUAGGCGUUCCAUGAGCCGAUGUACUUCGUGGUGUCGGGUGACGAGAAGGCAAAACUUUACUCGUUCUUUGAGUUCUUGCAUGAGCUCUUCUAGUUAUUUAACCAACUCCUCUACUUGUUCAAACCAGACCUCUUAAGACAUGUAUCCCUCCUCGUCGUUGUAAGAACCGCCGUCUGUGUGAGUUUUGACCUGCUGAGAUGGUUUUAGAAACCUUCUCUACUACUAUUCCUUCACCACCACUUCAACGACGACCUGGUCGUUCUAGUCGCCUUCCACGUCCACGACGGGUAGAAACCCUACCCUCCAGAACCGUUCUGUUGAGAACGAUUCUACAACAUAUUACUGGUUCCCCAGGUCGUCGUAAAGGUCAUAACUUAACCAAUGUUUACCUUCAACGCUGGAUGGACCGUCAUAACUUGAUGACGUUUUCGCUGAACUUUUUCAGUAACCGGUUUUUUCCAAAUACGAGCACGAACUGCUACAAACCUUACUUCUACUCUCCUUCACCCUCCUACAGGACUUCGGAGAAAACACAAAACAACCUCCUGGCCCUUCGCAGUAUCAACAGUGUUGAGCUUCGGUCUUUCACCGGUGGUAUUACGUCUGGGAAGUUGGGGUAUUCGAUCGUACGGACUCACUUGUUCUGAGUAUCCUUAAUAAACGUUUCUUCGUAUAUCGUUGCCACAUCUCGUCCUCCUUCGUCUCAACCAGUCGUAACCGUCUACAUAACAGUUGUUUACGACCCCCGACGGAGAACGAGAGUUCUGUUACCCACCUAACGAUUCAAGUAUAGUUGUUCAUGUUCUUACCUUCCGGUAGCUUCUUUCAUUAUAAUCCCUAUAACAAUCUCCCUUUCUACUCUAGUACAGGUAGGAUUUCAACUCGAUAUGUGUGGAUAGUAGACUUUACUUCGUUACAAAACGUAAGAAUCGUUAAAAAGGGUUCCUGAUAUUCUAUCUAUUCCUGUACAACUAGGUCGAUACCUACCGUUUACCAAAAUAAGUUCUCUUCCUUUGUUACCUAAAUUGUGCCUUUCCACUUAAGUAAAAACUACUCAAUCAAACCUCCAGGAAGGAGGUUCUAUUCGUCCUCACGUGUGUGUUAAUACGAUGUGUGUUAAUACACUGAUAACUGACAUUUUACGUACUAAACCGUUUUCUACAGUCUCUACUUACACGUUCAUAUCUUCUUAACUGAGCCGUUUUUUGUAACAAUUUUUUACAAACAGUGUACGUUUACAGUCUCCGACUUAACCUUGUUUAGUCACCCAAUAGGUUUCCGUCUUGUUUGGAGGCGUGAAACAAUCGAGGAAGUCUUAGUGUGUUCCCAAAAUUUUUCAACGAUGCCCGUAGUCGUAGUGAUUCUCGUAACGUAACGAGGGGAAGAAGUCAACGGUUAACGUUCCGGUAUUUGUGCUUUGUAGAUGCUAUAGAAGUGGAAAGAACCAGAUUGUAGUGAUUCAACGGUCUUAGUUAUACACACUACGUAUUGGACGUUUGUAACUCGGAGUGAGUAACAGUAUACGACGUCGUAAAUGGUCUUCUGUACAGUCCUAACUCUUUCGAGUAGGUAGAUAAAGAGACAUCAUCACGAGUAGAGUUUUCAUACAGAGGUUUGAAACCACAUGAUUUCUUGGAAGUAUAUAAUUGUUUUAAACAACACCUAUGACCUCUUCCGGAACCUUAUCUCGUCGAGUUUCUGAACGUUGUGGAAUCGUUAUCCAACCUUGAUAAUUUAAACUCGUUCUGUUUUUCACCCCUUUUACGUUUUCUUCGGUUAGAGUUAGUCUUCGUUUUAGAUUCACUCAACAACAAGAGAACCCCGGUUCUUUAUCUACUGCUCAGAUUCCUAUACCGUACAUUACACCUUCUUCAACCUCUAUGCAUCCAUACCACCGGAUCUUUAUAGUUUUUCAACCUCUAUGCAUCCAUACCACCGGAUCUUUAUAGCGUUACCUACUCUUUCGGACUCUACAAGUUGAUGAACUCUCUUGAGUUUUAUAGACUGACGGGUUUUACGGUCUCAUAGGGACAUUAUACCGAGAGCCAGAGAGAUCUCUAAAACCAGAAUGUCUUCUACCUAUUGGACUCUUGUAAUACAUUAUUGAAACUACACCUUCGACCUCCUACGUAAUGAGGAGACGUUUAAAAAGGUCCAAACUUUUCCUACUCCAACUCAUUCAAUGGUUCGGAUCUCUAUACCCGUCUUUUAUCACACCUUUUCGGAGUAUACAAAUUGACAAACCUUCUUGAGCUUUACAGGCUGACGGGUUCUACGUUCUCAUAUGGACAGUAUACCACGAGCCAGAGAGACCUCUAAAACAGGAAUCUCUCCUACCUAUUAGACUGGUGUAAUACAUUAUUACAACUACACCUUCGGCCUCCUACGUAACGGGGAAACGUUCAAAAGGGUUUCGACUUCUUCUACUCCAAUUAACUCAAUGGUUCUGAUCUCUAUACCCGUCUUUCAUCACACCCCCUCGGAUCACUAUUGAACCAUUGCAAGGGCUACGAACUUCUCGAUUGUUAGUUUUUCACGGGGUUCGAACGUUCAUAAAGUCACUAGGGGCAGUAGUUGCUGAAUGUUUAUCAACCCCAAGUGUCAUGACAUCAACCAAAUCAAAAAUUCCCGUAGGCAAACCCGAGGACCGGUAAAGAUCAAUAGAAUUGAGAACCCAGAGGCCUUCUGUAUGGGUACAACGGAGAUCCGCAGGUCGUUUCGGUUUGACUUUCUGGAGAACUUUUUGAAUUCAUAAACCUAGACGUUCCGGGGUUGUCGAACCAGUCUUCGACGGAUAACAGGUCUAAUGUUGAAUACCAAACCUUUACGAAAGGCAAGCACCUCGUAAACUGCUAAUCGCCAACGUCGUUAGAACAGGCGACCGGUUGUCUCCUCAAGGCCACGAACCUAGCGGAGACGAGAGACACAUAGCGCUUAACACUUUUGGACAUCCCCUUGUGAAGUAGUAGACUCCUCCUCUGGGAGGGCGACAGGGACCUUCAUAACCACCAACGUUAGACGGCGUCUGAACAACGUGACGGACUACCCUAUACACCGCAGUGAAGAGAAUCCCUUAACUUCUAAACCCUCACAGGUCGAUACCUUCUUAAGGGCGUACCAGAGGACCUCGCCAACGGUCGGGAGUUUCAGAAUGCGUAUCUACCGACGGGCCUCGACCUUUCUGCUACGUCUUUUUCACCCCUCAUAAAGGUGAACUAGAGGAGACAGGGUCUAUUCGACUAUAGUAGGUGCAUCCUUAAAAACUUUCUGAGCGGAGAGAGUAGUCGGGGGUAGAAUGGCGACACGCGCGGCACUGGAGGAGCUAACCGGUUGCCUGCAGGAGGAGCCGUCCCGCGUCUCUUUCCUACUUCCUUCGCUAAUAACUUGACAUUCUUCUUCCAAGGCGACGCGUGCGGCGCCGGACUCCGUCGGCGGCAGGAGGAACAGGUACUAGGUAUCUCUGGUACUUACACAGCCACUGAGUCACAAAGUCCACGUCACCGCUUAUUACAAGGUCCUCAACGCCCUGUAGACGCACACCUCCUAUGUCUUGUCGCGGAGCCGAGGUCCCCGCACAGACCUUGGGACCAGACUUAUGUAUGAACGCCGGUUCCACAAGUUGGGCGGAGAGCGGUUUUUGUCAGCGCAAGAGUAGUAAACCCUCUAAGUAUAUGCUGAACGAAUACCGAAAGUUUAAAGUGGUACCUAAUGACGGUGGUUUUUAAGUCAGUUGUUUACGUGCUGAUAUCUGUCGGAUUUAUAUUCAAUGACUUUAAGAAGUGCCGCGUAGAGUUAAAUUUAGGUCAAGGGGAGUGGAGAACAGGGUUGGUUGUCGGACCGCUAAGUAGAAGGGGUAGCUGUAACGUCUUCAGUCUCCGGUUUGCCAGGGAAGAUGGACGACGGCGAACUUGUCGCGACGUCUAAGCUGAAAGAGACGACUAACAGCCACCAGGUCUGCGGGGUGUCUAGGCGGGAUGCGGCGAGUGUGGGUACGGGAGGCCGUCGUGGUCGAGGUGGUUGAGGGUGGAGCAUGGUAGGCGGUUGCAUGAAAGGGCGUGGUCUGAGAGGGGCCGGAGAAGUUAGUCUCAGCUAGAUACCGGCGGACUCGAGGUCAGAAGUUUAGCGUUCGAUCCC